AGCUGGUAAAUCGGAACCAAAU
rnacentral:miRNA from 14 species